rnacentral:rRNA from 1 species
GACGAACGCUGGCGGCGUGCCUAAUACAUGCAAGUCGAGCGGACCGAACGAGGGCUUGCUCUUGUUUGGUCAGCGGCGGACGGGUGAGUAACACGUGGGCAACCUGCCCGCAAGACCGGGAUAACUCCGGGAAACCGGAGCUAAUACCGGAUAACACCGAAGACCGCAUGGUCUUCGGUUGAAAGGCGGCCUUUGGGCUGUCACUUGCGGAUGGGCCCGCGGCGCAUUAGCUAGUUGGUGAGGUAACGGCUCACCAAGGCGACGAUGCGUAGCCGGCCUGAGAGGGUGACCGGCCACACUGGGACUGAGACACGGCCCAGACUCCUACGGGAGGCAGCAGUAGGGAAUCUUCCGCAAUGGGCGAAAGCCUGACGGAGCGACGCCGCGUGAGCGAAGAAGGCCUUCGGGUCGUAAAGCUCUGUUGUGAGGGACGAAGGAGCGCCGUUCGAAGAGGGCGGCGCGGUGACGGUACCUCACGAGAAAGCCCCGGCUAACUACGUGCCAGCCGCCGCCGUAACAC